rnacentral:rRNA from 1 species
AUGAUUUGGAUUUAUCUUCUCAUCUUUUCAGGUUUCCAAGUAUGCCACUCUCUUGGUCGUGGUACUGAUUCAGGCAUGGGUACACUUUUGUUGGUUGAGAAUGCAGAUGAGUGCAUGGUUCUUGAGAAUGAGGCUCUUUAUGACAUAUGUUUCAGGACUCUCAAGCUGACCACUCCGAGUUGGUAUGCAGAGCAAUGCCUCUGCCUUAGUUCAAGAGAGCAAGGCAGGCAACAAAGAGGAGGGUCUGGCCGAAGUCAAGAAACAAGAGAACUCGACACCGACCUAGAGAAACUCUAUGUAGCAGGCCUUCGCCGGAGAGAUGGCCGAACGACAAUUGUCAAGUGCCUCUGGUGUACACGCUUUGUUGGCUUGUUUAUCCUUGCAUGUGGAAAUUUGGCUUGUCAGUUUUGCAUCGACUGUGGAAACCUCCUGGUGCACUAUCCAGUUGUAGUUCCCUUUCAUGUAAUUGUCUUCCCCCAAGUAAAUGUAUAA